CCAGAGUAUACCGCGCAUGGAGCAACGCGCAUUCCCAUUGACCAGUUUGUAGUUGGAGGAGCUCUGCACUCGGGCAUUUAGUAAUCGUACGACGUCGUUGGGCACACCGUGCGCUCUUUAACGUCAGUCUCGUCACGGUGCUCCGUCUUUGCACGUACCGUAACGUCACAUCAAAAAACGCGUAUCGAACAGGCGAUCAGCUAGUAAACCGUACGAGACGCGAUUGCUUCCAAUUAGAACGCAUUUCUCUUGAAACAAGGUGAUCCUAACCGCGAUCGAAGCGUAAACGAACCCAUUAAGGGGUUUUCAUAUUAAGCGUCUAAAGACAGCGCGAAAGCUGCAACUCUUCUUCAAUACGCGGACCCCGCAGCGGAACUCACGCAGGAAGAGCAUCGUCUCAACUCUUGGCGCCUUUGAGGCGAGUCAUCGCCGAGAGGGUACUUACCUGGACAUUGGAAACCAUCAUUUCCAACCAGCAGGACGAUUAAUUAGGUCGUCUCGGCUAAGAGACGGCGUCGCGAGCGAAACAGGGGGCGACAGAAGGUCACGCCAUGCCGGCAGGUACUGGCGCUUCGUACAGGUCCUUAGGCGACCUGGGCGAAGACGUUUACAAAAGCACAACCAUCGUCGAUCAGACACAGACUACUAGCCAGAGCGUUCUGGAAUCCGUGAAGAAGGCUUUUAGCUUCACCUCACCGAAGGCUGAGACGCGAAAAAAGGACCCGCUGAUCGAGGAUCGUCGCGAAACCGCCUCGAUCGUCUCAAGGGAGAGAAACAGGAUGCCGACAGCAGCCACUGCCGAGGAAUCUGCUCUAUUGGGCACGAUGCCUUCCGACAGCAUGGAUGACAUCGAGCUAAAAAACAUUCAAUUGCAAUUCCCAGCACUGCGAUAUCUCUCCAGAGAUGAUAGCUCUGUACGGGAAGAAAGGGUGGAAACCGACAAGGGAAGUUUGCUGGUAGCGGUGCAAGGAAAUCGAGCGAAACCAGCUAUCCUUACUUAUCACGAUCUAGGCCUUAACUACAUCUCGAGCUUCCAGGCGUUCUUUAAUUAUAUCGAUAUGCGUGUUCUACUCGAAAACUUCUGCGUAUACCAUGUAAACGCACCCGGACAAGAGGAAGGCGCACCAACGCUACCCGAAGAUUUUACUUAUCCGUCCAUGGAAGAGUUGGCCGAACAGCUGCUCUUUGUUCUUGGCCAUUUUGGCAUAAAAUCUGUAAUUGGUUUUGGCGUCGGAGCUGGUGCCAAUAUACUGGCAAGAUUUGCACUCACUCAUCCGGAAAAAGUAAAUGCACUGUGCCUGAUCAACUGCGUGUCUACGCAGGCAGGAUGGAUCGAGUGGGGUUAUCAAAAGUUGAAUGUACGCCACCUGAGAUCGCAAGGCAUGACUCAAGGUGUUCUUGACUACCUGAUGUGGCAUCAUUUUGGCAGGGGGACUGAAGAACGGAAUCACGAUCUGGUUCAAGUGUACAAGAACUAUUUUGAGCGUCGCGUAAAUCCAACGAAUCUCGCGUUGUUUAUCGACAGUUAUGUUCGUCGCACGGAUUUGAAUAUAACUAGAGAAUUGGACCCAACACGCAAGAAGGAAGGAUUGACGCUUAGUGUGCCGGUGAUGAACAUCACGGGUGCGUUAAGCCCUCAUGUUGACGACACUGUAACGUUAAAUGGGCGUUUGGAUCCGACAAACAGCUCCUGGAUGAAAAUAUCGGAUUGCGGUAUGGUAUUGGAAGAACAACCGGGUAAAGUAAGCGAGGCAUUCCGACUGUUUCUUCAGGGCGAAGGAUACGUGGUGAGAUCCCCGCGGAAGCCCGUGAAGCCGACAACACCCGAAGGUAAUUGUAAUUAGGAAUUGAAGGCCGCAAGGAGAGUCGAGCGCGCAGUUGGUCAAUUAGGCCACGUCUAUAUGUUAAUGGCCCCGCUGUCGCCGUUAAAAAUGGCCGAUUUCAGACUGGCAUCAUUGGAAGGACUGAAUCACGUUUGCAGCAAGAAGAUCGACUGGCCUACCGCGACCAUACACAUCACGGAGAAUCCAAUAUCGGAGGCAGUCGUCUGUUAAAUGUUAAUCGUCGAAUUCUACCAACACCCUCGAUUUUCGUUACGUGAUCAAAACGAGCAUAAUCGGACAAUGACGCGAUUCAAUAAAUUAGAAAAUUUCAAGGUUUCGUCGGGCAACGAUCCCUCGCGGCACUAAUCGUUGAUUUUUCUCCGGAGCUUUUUCAUCGGCACACCACGUUUAUUUUAAUCGCGAUUUGCGCUGAAUCGACCACACGCAUUCGUAAUAAAUGUUUAAUUCUAAAUGACUAUAAGUUAAGAGCUUUAAAGAUAGAAUUUAAUACGUAAAAGAUAUCAGAUCUUUUAUCAAUAUACUUGCUCGACAUGCAAUGUUGUAAAGGAACAAUAUUAAGGAUAAAUGAGAGAGUAAUGUUACUGCUGCGUUAUUGGAUAUACUAUAAAUUUUAGUUCUCUGUUUUAAAAAUUUUAGUGAAUGGUGCAAAACGUUUUUUAAAGUCAUCGUUUAUUUUUUACAGCAAAGACAAACUUCUCAAUCGUUUUAAUUACAUUCAUGAUUAUGUUCAUUUUUUAACAUUUAGUUAAAUGAAAAGGUAAUAUUUUUCGUAUGUUUUUUUUAUAAAUCUUUUAAUAUUAUUACAUUUUUACAAUUUUUAAAUAUUCAACUAUUUUAUACACAAUUCUAUACAUAUAUGGGAAUAUAUUAUAUAUUAACAUCAAAACAAAGUUAUAAGCAUGACUUUACAAAUACGUAAUGCGUACUGAUAACACGUUCAUUAAAAAAGUAAAAGAGAGAUUUCCUUCAAUAUUUAAUAUGUGACUCAUAUUUGAGCACUAUCUUCAAAAAAAUGAUACGUUACUGUAUAAUUAUGAAUGAAUUUAUUAAAGAACGUCACAAAAGACUUCCAAAAUGUAAAACAACACAUCAUUGAAGAAGGCGCGUGUUCGUUUUUCAAAUAAAAAAUAAAUAUUGCAAAGGACUGAUAAAACAUUGACAAAUUGCAAAUAACUUUUUAUAAAGUAAAGUCAAAUUCUAUAUUUCCCACAGUGCAUAUGAUAUAUUAAAAAUAUCUUAAAAUCAUCAAAGAUUUUAUUAAAACAUAAUCUACUUUUGUUGUGUUAAAAGUUAAUUUACAAAAGAUUUUUGUUUUAAUUAAAAUAUAAAUUAUAACUCACUUUUUAGAUUACUUUAUCACAGCGUUAAAAGUUACAUUUAAAUUUACUUUUUGUUCAGUUUUAUUAUUUACAUUAAAUCGAUUCAAUAAAGAAUCAGUAAAUCUUGUAAAUUCUAAAUUUAUUAUUUAAAAUUGCAAUAUUUUUUUAUUAUUUUAUACGAAUUAAUUUAUUUAUUAUCAUAUAAGAUUUUUUGAGAUAAAAUGAUAACAAAUAUACAUUGAAAUCGGUAUAAAAUGCCUGAAAUUAUCUGAACGGAUUACAUAUUUUCAAUAAAACUUGCGUACAUAUUCUUAAAUAUAAUAAAAAAAUUAAUGGAGUUUAAAACAAAAGAUUGUUUGCAAUUUUGUAAAAAUUUCUUAAAGAAAAUAAUAGCUCCGCGUUUUAGUGUCUCUAUCACAAUUGUUAUUCUUAAAGGGAGAUGUCUCUGAUAAUCUAGAAUCUCUGUCCCUUUAAACAAGAUAAAAAUUUGUUCGUUUAUUAUUUACACUUGUACGCACCGUUCGCAUCCUUUCUUUAAUUGAUAACAAAAGAGACUGCCCGUAUGAGGAAGAAAAAGAACGCAUGUGAACGAAUGCAUAUAUGUAAGAGUGAUAUAGAAAGAGAGGAUAUACGUAAUUAAUUAACAAGAAAUAAGAAAUACAACAAAUGUCGGGUUCAGUAUUUCUGUGUGGUUUUACCAGGCUUGCUCGAGCCUCUAGCGUGAUAUGAUAAGAUGUGCCUGCUAUAAGAUGUUGUACGUAGCUUUUCAAAGUUUAAUCAUCUUUACUUUUCUACGUGUGUAAUUCAAAUGCGUCCCUCGAAAUUCCUCACUUUUCGUGCGUCUUUUCUCUCGAAGCAUUGCACUUAACAAUCGGCAUAAACAUAUUUUUCAAAAUCAAUUUUAAUCGUUUUUUUUAUUUACUCACACACAUUCAUAAUACAAUAAAAUCGAAUACAUGAAACUUGUUCUACGACUUAAUUACACAUUUUAAAUAAAAAGUAAAUAAAUAAUUGAAAAAUUGCUAACAGUGACAAAACAAGUUUUUGCGACUAAUAGUAUUACUUUAAACAGAUUUUUAUUAAAAAGAAAAUUCGUUAAUUUAUGCGAUUAUACAUUUCUCUGAUUUCACAGCAGGUAACAAUGAUAAAAAAUAAUGCGAGAAUGACGAAGGAAGUCGAAAUAGCGGAUAUCUCGUGGGACAGAAGGUUUAACCUUUUCAUGUGUAAAAGAGAGUUUAUAAAAAUAUAUAAUAAGUGUACACACACGCGUUGUUUAGAUUAUCGCAAAUUAAGAGGCAAUGAUAGCCGAGAACAUAGGAGCAUUAGGAUUGUGGGAAUACAAUAUGAAACAAUUGAGGGAACGCACGCAUUAAACGUUGCUAAUGCGAAUGCUAUAUGAGCAUACAUAUAAUGUAGCUUUUAAGGACUACCGAUGCUCCGCCGUUAAUCCCUUCGUUUCCAGAUUGAAAAGUUUCCUUAUACGGACAUGGCGAUUAUUGGCACAAAUUAUUUGAACGCUCAAGACAACGAAUAAGUUGUGAACUCGUACAUCGACGUAUUGUUGAAUUUAAUUAGACAUAUCGGCCAAGUUCAAUACGCGAUAUCAUUAAAUUGUCCGUCGACUGAUCAAUUUUAAUUCAAAUGUUCGCCCAUGUUAUUCGCAAGACGCAUAUCAGUAUGGUGAAUUUUUAAACAUUUUUCAACAAUAAAAAAUUCUACCGGAUUUGUAUCUACAUUUUAAUCGCAUCAAUGUUACUUGAAAGAAAAUGCGAUAAUGUCGCUGGUUUCGAAGGGUUUAAAAGAUUCAUUCAGUACGCGUGAUCGAGAUCAAUCGAUUUUCAGCAUCCACUUCUACCUCGUGAGAAGAUAACACGAUUUUCCUUUGUCGCACGAUGCGCAAAGUUCGUUUUCGAAUUUUCCACGCGGUAUCGCAAAACAGAUAUUAGCGAAGUGUAUUAAUCACUCAGCAUAAAUGAGACAUAGUACAGGGAAUAAGCGAAAUAAACUUAGACGGAGCUUGAUUACAUAUACAUACAUAUAUAUAUAAAUAUAUUAUACAAGUUAAAUGACACGUGCGCACCGAAUAUAUGCAUCUUGUUAUUUAUAAUAAACGAAUACAAAAUUAAA